UACGAAGGGGGCUAGCGUUGCUCGGAAUCACUGGGCGUAAAGCGCACGUAGGCGGAUCUUUAAGUCAGGGUGAAAUCCCGGAGCUCAACUCCGGAACUGCCUUUGAUACUGGAGAUCUUGAGUCCGGGAGAGGUGAGUGGAACUGCGAGUGUAGAGGUGAAAUUCGUAGAUAUUCGCAAGAACACCAGUGGCGAAGGCGGCUCACUGGCCCGGUACUCGACGCUGAGGUGCGAAAGCGUGGGGAGCAAACAGGGAU
rnacentral:rRNA from 1 species